rnacentral:rRNA from 1 species
GGUACUUGAGGAAUAAGCCACGGCUAAUUCCGUGCCAGCAGCCGCGGUAAUACGGGAGUGGCAAGCGUUAUCCGGAAUUAUUGGGCGUAAAGCGUCCGCAGGCGGCCUUGAAAGUCUGUCGUUAAAGCGUGGAGCUUAACUCCAUUUCGGCGGUGGAAACUACAAGGCUUGAGUGUGGUAGGGGCAGAGGGAAUUCCCGGUGUAGCGGUGAAAUGCGUAGAUAUCGGGAAGAACACCAGUGGCGAAGGCGCUCUGCUGGGCCAUAACUGACGCUCAUGGACGAAAGCUAGGGGAGCGAAAGGGAUUAGAUACCCCUGUAGUCCUAGCCGUAAACGAUGAACACUAGGUGUCGGGGGAAUCGACCCCCUCGGUGUCGUAGCUAACGCGUUAAGUGUUCCGCCUGGGGAGUACGCACGCAAGUGUGAAACUC